CUAAAGCUGCAAGGAAGGCUCCGAGAAGAUGUCAAAAUGAUGAAGGAUUUGAAGAGGUAUUGCAGAGAGAAAUAGUCGAAAGAAGCUGAAUAAAGAUUGAAGCUCGAAGGUGAUGAUGCAGAUUGCGACAUGUAUGCUCGUGAUGUGCAGAUUCGUUGGUGAAGAUGGCAAAUGAUUGAAGGCGUCUUGAAGCUUCAAGAAGAUGUAUAAGAAGAUGAUAUUUGAAGAACAUGAAUAAAAAUGAUGAAGGAUCUGCAGAGGAGUUUGCAUAGGAUAACUUAUAGGAUUGCUUUGGAAAAAGAGCAUAGACCAUGGCAAGUUACAAUACGCCGGUUUGGUCAUGAAGAAGGUAAUGAAGAUGGAAGCAACAAGGUUGCAUUUCAAACACGACGAGGCCACACAAAAAGCGAUGAUGAGAAUCAAUAUAUUCACUUUUAAUUGUAUUUCUUGUUUUUUGUAGUAUUUUUGGAUAUUGUAAAUGGUGUUGGGUAUUUGGUUAUGAUAUGGUUUCGGUAGAAAUGCAUAGAUGUUAUGUAUAAUUGUAAUGGAAUUUGGAUUUGUAUGUAUUUGAAUAAUUGUAAUGUAUGUUGAUUUUAUUUCCACAUAAUGAAAUGGCCUUUGUAUGAAUUC